rnacentral:tRNA from 1 species
GCACCCAUAGCUCAAUUGGAUAGAGCAUCUGACUACGNNAGAAGGUUUGGGGUUCGAAUCCCUAUGGGUGUACAA